GACGUAGGUGGCGAACGUUAUCCGGAAUUAUUGGGCGUAAAGGGCUCGUAGGCGGUCUGUUGCGUCGGGAGUGAAAACUUACAGCUUAACUGUGAGCGUGCUUUCGAUACGGGCAGACUUGAGGCAUUCAGGGGAGAACGGAAUUCCUGGUGUAGCGGUGAAAUGCGCAGAUAUCAGGAGGAACACCGGUGGCGAAGGCGGUUCUCUGGGAAUGUCCUGACGCUGAGGAACGAAAGCGUGGGGAGCGAACAGG
rnacentral:rRNA from 1 species